CCCCUAGACGUUCUGGGCUGCACGCGCGCUACAAUAAUACGCACAGCGAGUAUCACCGAACUCGAAAGGGCAAGGUAAACAAUAGAAAAGGUACUGUAAUGGUUAUAGAUCCUUGUAAUUAUUGAUCUUCAACGAGGAAUUCCUAGUAAGUAUGUGUCAUCAUCACGCACUGAUUACGUCCCUGCCCUUUGUACACACCGCCCGUCGCUCCUACCGAUUGGGUGAGCCGAUGAAACUCUCGGAUGUAGGCUAUUCAUAGCCCGCAGAAGAGAUUUGAAUCGUAGCGCUUAGAGGAAGGAGAAGUCGUAACA
rnacentral:rRNA from 1 species